CAAUAACUGGUGCUCCCCUGUUUUGUAGCUCACCUGAGCAGCCAUGUCGCUGGUCACCUUAACUGACCCCAUCAGCCGCAUCCACGGAAGUGGAGCUGUUCUGUUUUUCAUCCUCAAAGUGGUCACCCGGCUGACCCUUCCCAACAGGAAAGCAUCUCCACGUUGGCCCCACAUAGGAAGGCUCGCAAUGGGAUUGUUCUAAAAUGUCUGUGCAAAGACCCAUGUGAGGGCACAGACAGCCGCCCCCCCCCAAAAAAAAAGAAAUCUCCCAAGAUCCUCAGUGAUUGAAUAAGCACACGGAGGGCUUGGUUUCGUAGCCGCCAUCAGGAGACUGCAGAUAUGACUGAAGUGGUCGCAUCUAAAUAUGCGGAGCAGACAGACAGUAAAGGCUCUGGCCAGAGACGCUCUGAGAAGAAUAGCAGAUGCUGAAGAUGAAAGCGGAGACAGACCCCUCCAGUGAGGGGUCUCUCAAAUACUGACACACAAACACACACACACACAUGUGGGGACGACCUCUUCUCAUGUGUCCACGUUUGUUCUGCCUGAUGCAAUACAGUUUAAAGGCUUUUUAUAGGACGGCCUCUUCAUUUGUGUGAACAGUUUAUAGAACCAGAUCUGGGUUUUGAGCAAUGUUUAACGUGAAAAAUGUCUGUAGCCAUCAGCUUUGUGGAGGACAGAAGACCACAUCCAGUCCUCUGACUUUUCUCCCGUCUACUCUCAAUGAACAUUCCGUGCGUACACAGUGUUAGAGCAAUGAACAAACACAUUUAAUCCUGUGUUUCAUUUUUAUGUAGCAACUUUGUCCUGAUGAUGAGAAAAAUGUGACGUUCUGGUACAUGCUGUUCUUGCAUGAAGAUCUUCUCCUAGGUGCAUUGAGGAACUAAUCUAAAACUGCAUGCAAAUUCGGUCCCUUCAUGUAAUUCAGCUUCUUAUCCCAGUUGUAUUAUGAACGUGUAUAUUCUACACCAAGUCACCCUGGAUCACAGACAAUCAGAACCAGGCAACAGAUCAAAGGCCUUUUUAGGCUUUAACAUGUCACACAAAAUAACAACUCAAGCAGCCACAACUGUGCGUGAUUUCAUGAUGUAACACAUGCUCACACCAGCGGCAGGGUUUUCCUUACUCUGGCUGCACGCUUUCCCUCAUACUUACUAAGACGCCUACAAUUGACAUGAAGCUGAAUUUAAUCCUGCAAAUAGCAACGUUUCAGAGCACAAUAAUGCAGCUAAGAGAUGUUCUAACCAACACCAACAUCUGGGUCAAUCUCACUAGGUUUUUCAGGUUUAUCUCAGUUUGAAUAUUUUACUUAAUAUUAAUUCGUGAGUACAAUAUAUUGGCAUCAUUGUUCGGUAUUUCACUGUACAUAUUCCAUUCUCUGCAACACAUUUCUAGCAUGUUUAAAGGAAAAAGCAAUCUAGACUGCAGUCCUGAAGAAGCUGUGUAAUUGUGCCCUGGAGAAGUGAGUGAGAGUCGUGAGUCAGUCUACUGUAUUUCCCAUUUUCAGUCAGAAACAGAAGAACAAGGUCAAGGAUGCAAGAGGUCAAAAUGAGACUCUUGACAAUGGGUGAACCACCAGGCUUUCAGUCAGCAUAUCUGCUGGAGACGUGAAGGAGACCCCUCUAUGUCUCCCAAAACAGUUGGAGGAGGAGAUCUGGGCUUCUGUCAUUAGACUGCUGCCCCCACGACCUUUGGAGAAAAAACAUGGACAGACACAAAUACAAAAAAAAAUGUUGUAAACUUGUGAUCACACUUUUUUUUCUGGUCAAUAUUGCAUUAAAUAAAAAAGGCUAGCUACCACGUUUGAAGGCUACAUUUACUUCUGAAACAGUCUGUGUAUUGUCGCCAUGGUUGACAGUCGAUAAACAUUUAGUGCUGACACACUUUCAUAUCUAGUCACAGGAUUUAAAG